CCUACGGGAGGCUGCAGUGGGGAAUAUUGCACAAUGGUGGAGACACUGAUGCAGCGACGCCGCGUGAGCGAUGAAGUAUUUCGGUAUGUAAAGCUCUAUCAUCAGGGAAGAAAAUGACGGUACCUGACUAGGAAGCCCCGGCUAACUACGUGCCAGCAGCCGCGGUAAUACGUAGGGGGCAGGCGUUAUCCGGAUUUACUGGGUGUAAACGGAGCGUAGACGGUCCUGCAAGCCAGUUGUGAAAGCCCGGGGCUCAACCCCGGGACUGCAUCUCGAACUGUGAGGCUAGAGUGUCGGAGAGGUAGGCGGAAUUCCUGGUGUAGCGGUGAAAUGCGUAGAUAUUAGGAGGAACAC
rnacentral:rRNA from 1 species